AAGUGCAUGGCAAUGGAGGGGAACAUGGAGUGGUGUAGCAAUUGAGUGCAAUGAUGCAAUGUAAUAAUGCAUGAAAUUUGAAAUGAUGGAGGGAACAAAGAAUGGUGUAGCAAUUGAGUGCAAUGAUUCAACGUAAUGAUGCAUGAAUCUGAAAUGAUAGAGGGAACAAGGAAUGGUGUAGCAAUUGAGUGCAAUGAUUCAAUGUAAUGAUGGAUGAAAUCUGAAAUGAUGGAGGGGACAAGGGUGAUUAUGCAUGG
rnacentral:lncRNA from 1 species